GACAGAGGGUGCAAACGUUGUUCGGAAUUACUGGGCGUAAAGCGUGUGUAGGCGGCCAUGUAAGUCGGGUGUGAAAGCCCCGGGCUUAACCCGGGAAGUGCACUCGAUACUGCGUGGCUAGAGUAUCGGAGAGGUUGGUGGAAUUCUCGGUGUAGAGGUGAAAUUCGUAGAUAUCGAGAGGAACACCGGUGGCGAAGGCGGCUCACUGGCCCGGUACUGACGCUGAGGUGCGAAAGCGUGGGGAGCAAACAGG
rnacentral:rRNA from 1 species